rnacentral:tRNA from 1 species
GCUAUGUAGUUUAAUAUUAAAAUUUUUGUUUGUGGUGCAAGAGAUUUUAUAGCUA